rnacentral:rRNA from 1 species
AUUGAACGCUGGCGGCAGGCCUAACACAUGCAAGUCGAACGAGUGGCGGACGGGUGAGUAAUGUCUGGGAAACUGCCUGAUGGAGGGGGAUAACGACGGGAAACGGUAGAUAUUACCGCAUACAAUCAGAUGUGCCCAGAUGGGAUUCGCUUGUUGGUGGGGUAACGGCUCACCAAGUCGACGAUCCCUAGCUGGUCUGAGAGGAUGACCAGCCACACGUGUACUACGACACGGUCCAGACUCCUACGGGAGUCAGCAGUGGGGAAUAUUGCACAAUGGGCGCAAGCCUGAUGCAGCCAUGCGGCGUGUAUGAAGAAGGCCUUCGGGUUGUAAAGUACUUUCAGCGGGGAGGCGUUACCCGCAGAAGAAGCACCGGCUAACUCCGUGCCAGCAGCCGCGGUAAUUC